rnacentral:rRNA from 1 species
GACGAACGCUGGCGGCGUGCUUAACACAUGCAAGUCGAACGGAAAGGCCCUGCUUUUGUGGGGUGCUCGAGUGGCGAACGGGUGAGUAACACGUGAGUAACCUGCCCUUGACUUUGGGAUAACUUCAGGAAACUGGGGCUAAUACCGGAUAGGAGCUCCUGCUGCAUGGUGGGGGUUGGAAAGUUUCGGCGGUUGGGGAUGGACUCGCGGCUUAUCAGCUUGUUGGUGGGGUAGUGGCUUACCAAGGCUUUGACGGGUAGCCGGCCUGAGAGGGUGACCGGCCACAUUGGGACUGAGAUACGGCCCAGACUCCUACGGGAGGCGGCAGUGGGGAAUAUUGCACAAUGGGCGGAAGCCUGAUGCAGCAACGCCGCGUGCGGGAUGACGGCCUUCGGGUUGUAAACCGCUUCCGCCUGUGACGAAGCGUGAGUGACGGUAAUGGGUAAAGAAGCACCGGCUAACUACGUG